rnacentral:rRNA from 1 species
GACGAACGCUGGCGGCGUGCUUAACACAUGCAAGUCGAACGGAAAGGCCCUGCUUUUGUGGGGUUCUCGAGUGGCGAACGGGUGAGUAACACGUGAGUAACCUGCCCUUUACUUUGGGAUAACUUCAGGAAACUGGGGCUAAUACCGGUUAGUAGCUCCUGCUGCAUGGUGGGGGUUGGAAAGUUUCGGCGGUUGGGGAUGGACUCGCGGCUUAUCAGCUUGUUGGUGGGGUAGUGGCUUACCAAGGCUUUGACGGGUAGCCGGCCUGAGAGGGUGACCGGCCACAUUGGGACUGAGAUACGGCCCAGACUCCUACGGGAGGCAGCAGUGGGGAAUAUUGCACAAUGGGCGGAAGCCUGAUGCAGCAACGCCGCGUGCGGGAUGACGGCCUUCGGGUUGUAAACCGCUUUCGCCUGUGACGAAGCGUGAGUGACGGUAAUGGGUAAAGAAGCACCGGCUAACUACGUG